GUAACCUUUAGGUCCUCUUGAGUUCAUGUAAAUUGACUCCAGACGAUUGAACUUGUCCACUCUCGGUGCUUACAAGUGGAGCUAGCCUGUGACCUGAAGCUCAUACUUGAUAUGGAUUGAACCUAAAGGUCCUCAACAUCUCACUCUUUUUUAGGAAACUGAGAGAUGUGCAUGUGCACAAUAUAUUUGCUCAGCUCAGCGUGGUCUCAAGUAACGUCGUGUGGCAUGCUUAUGGCUUCUUGACUUCUUCUUCCGCUCUGACGCCUCCUUCCCCGCCCCUCUGGUGGCCUCGAUUCUUCUUCCAAUCCAGAAUAGCUUGUGUAUCAACCAACAUUGUUUCGUCUUGGAGCUCAAUACUGGGUUUUCAGGGUGCACCUCUUGUGUCACCGAUGGUGCAGGCUGGGCAUCAGUCUCAUGUAGGUGCACUCAACUGAACCUAGCUAUUUGGAAUGGCAAGAGCACAAUUCAGGGGAUGGAAAGAAAGGACAAAGCAAUCAAUUUGGGAGAAACCUGUCUGCCGUGUUGAUGACACCUUUC